rnacentral:rRNA from 1 species
AUUGAACGCUGGCGGCAGGCUUAACACAUGCAAGUCGAACGAGUGGCGGACGGGUGAGUAAUGCUUGGGAAUCUCGCUUAUGGAGGGGGAUAACUACGGAAAACUGUAGCUAAUACCGCUUACCAUAGGAUGAGCCCAAGUGGGAUUAGGUAGUUGGUGAGGUAAAGGCUCACCAAGCCGACGAUCUCUAGCUGGUCUGAGAGGAGGACCAGCCACACUGGGACUGAGACACGGCCCAGACUCCUACGGAAGGCAGCAGUGGGGAAUAUUGCGAAAUGGGGGCAACCCUGACGCGGCAAUGCCGCGUGAAUGAAGAAGGCCUUCGGGUGGUAAAGUUCUUUCAGCGAGGAGGCGUUACUCGCAGAAGAAGCACCGGCUAACUCCGUGCCAGCCGCCGCGGUAAUUC